rnacentral:rRNA from 1 species
GGCCGCGGGAAUUCGAUUCAGGCCUAACACAUGCAAGUCGAACGGAAAGGCCCUGCUUGCAGGGUACUCGAGUGGCGAACGGGUGAGUAACACGUGGGUGAUCUGCCCUGCACUUCGGGAUAAGCCUGGGAAACUGGGUCUAAUACCGGAUAGGACCAUCGUUUAGUGUCGGUGGUGGAAAGUUUUUCGGUGCAGGAUGAGCUCGCGGCCUAUCAGCUUGUUGGUGGGGUAAUGGCCUACCAAGGCGUCGACGGGUAGCCGGCCUGAGAGGGGGGACGGCCACAUUGGGACUGAGACACGGCCCAGACUCCUACGGGAGGCAGCAGUGGGGAAUAUUGCACUAAAGGGGCAAGCCUGAUGCAGCGACGCCGCGUGGGGGAUUAAAGCGUUCGGGUUGUAAACUCCUUUCAACCAUGACGAAGCGUAAGUGACGGUA